rnacentral:rRNA from 1 species
GCUCGUGGAUCGAUGAAGACCGCAGCUAAAUGCGCGUCAGAAUGUGAACUGCAGGACACAUGAACACCGACAAGUUGAACGCAUAUUGCACAUCGUACAACAGUACGAUGUACACAUUUUUGAGUGCCUAUAUUUAUCUAUUCAACUAUACGCGCUGCGCGUUUCACUUCGGGUGGACAGGCGCAGCGCGUAUGCGUAGUGAUGUUUUCCCGCCUUCGGUGGCGGUAAAACAUUGAAGAUAGUCAGGCGCGUCCUCUCGGACGUGGUUGAUGAAUACAUCCCAAUCAGGCCGGCUGUGCUAGGCUAUGUUGUAUUCCAUCACACACCAACCAACCAACCAACCAACCCAGUAGGCCUCAAAUAAUGUGUGACUACCCCCUAAAUUUAAGCA